rnacentral:rRNA from 1 species
CCUACGGGAGGCUGCAGUGGGGAAUAUUGGGCAAUGGAGGCAACUCUGACCCAGCAACGCCGCGUGAGCGAUGAAGGUCUUCGGAUUGUAAAGCUCUGUCGCAGGGGACGCGGAAUGACGGUACCUUGUAAGAAAGCACCGGCCAACUACGUGCCAGCAGCCGCGGUCAUGCGGAGGGGGGUAGCGUUGUCCGGAAUUACUGGGCGUAAGGGGUGUGUAGACGGCUUGUCAAGUUAAGUGUGAAAGCCUGCGGCUUAACCGCAGAAUUGCACUUAAAACUGACUCGCUAGAGUGCAGGAGAGGUGAGUGGAAUUCCUAGUGUAGCGGUGGAAUGCGUAGAUAUUAGGAGGAACCCCAGAGGCGAAGGCGGCUCACUGGACUGUAACUGACGUUGAGGCUCGAAAGCGUGGGGAGCAAACAGGAUUAGAUACCCCGGUAGUC